rnacentral:rRNA from 1 species
AUUGAACGCUGGCGGCAUGCCUUACACAUGCAAGUCGAACGGUAACGCGGGGCAACCUGGCGACGAGUGGCGAACGGGUGAGUAAUGUAUCGGAACGUGCCCAGUUGUGGGGGAUAACUGCUCGAAAGAGCAGCUAAUACCGCAUACGACCUGAGGGUGAAAGCGGGGGAUCGCAAGACCUCGCGCAGUUGGAGCGGCCGAUAUCAGAUUAGGUAGUUGGGGGGGUAAAGGCUCACCAAGCCAACGAUCUGUAGCUGGUCUGAGAGGACGACCAGCCACACUGGGACUGAGACACGGCCCAGACUCCUACGGGAGGCAGCAGUGGGGAAUUUUGGACAAUGGGGGCAACCCUGAUCCAGCCAUGCCGCGUGCGGGAAGAAGGCCUUCGGGUUGUAAACCGCUUUUGUCAGGGAAGAAAAGACUCCUGUUAAUACCGGGGGUUCAUGACGGUACCUGAAGAAUAAGCACCGGCUAACUACGUGCCAGCCGCCGCAGUAAAAC